rnacentral:rRNA from 1 species
ACGUACACUCCUGCGGGAGGCAGCAGUGGGGAAUAUUGGACAAUGGGCGCAAGCCUGAUCCAGCCAUGCCGCGUGAGUGAUGAAGGCCCUAGGGUUGUAAAGCUCUUUCACCGGAGAAGAUAAUGACGGUAUCCGGAGAAGAAGCCCCGGCUAACUUCGUGCCAGCAGCCGCGGUAAUACGAAGGGGGCUAGCGUUGUUCGGAAUUACUGGGCGUAAAGCGCACGUAGGCGGAUCGAUCAGUCAGGGGUGAAAUCCCAGGGCUCAACCCUGGAACUGCCUUUGAUACUGUCGAUCUGGAGUAUGGAAGAGGUGAGUGGAAUUCCGAGUGUAGAGGUGAAAUUCGUAGAUAUUCGGAGGAACACCAGUGGCGAAGGCGGCUCACUGGUCCAUUACUGACGCUGAGGUGCGAAGGCGUGGGGAGCAAACAGGAUUAGAAACCCCUGUAGUCCCA